rnacentral:lncRNA from 1 species
ACCUGGGUGGUUACAGUCCAGGGGGCUGGAAAGAGUCAGACACAACUGAGUACACAUCCAUGGACAACCGGAGAACCUGGUUAAAGGAUCCUGAUAGCCAAAGAAUUACUUCAUCUCACACCUAGAAGCAUCCAGCCCCUCCUGGUUAGAGAGGCAGAUCCUGAAGUCCCCGAGGAGUAUUACUGGACCAGUGACUCAGUAACUCCCACCUGGGGGAAGGGACCCAUGCUGGGGAGGCGACUGUAGAAUGCGUACCAUCACUGCUUCCCUCCUCUCUCUGGAAAUCAUGGCCACAGAAAGCCCAGCUCUUGGAUACAUGGUGUCUCUACAGGUGCUAGGACACAAAGGAUGCACGCACAAAUGCAGUGAGCAACGCCCUCACCUUAGGCUGCAAAGGAUCUGAUCGGCGUGCUCCCCAGGGUCUACUGGGCAGUCUCAAUGGAGCAUGCUUUGGGGGAACAAGAGGGACCUAAACAGGCUUAACCAAAGGGGAGUGACCGCUUUCUUGAGCACUGACUUUAAAAAUCAGGAAGAGGACAGCCUUAGGCUACAGCUUCUAAAAGGGCAGUCCGAGUGGGCGUGCCAAGGCCUCCAGGGCUCCCGACCCAGAACAAUGUGAUGACGUCACCCUGUGCAGCCACACACGGAUUCCAGCUCCUCUGCACACCCUUCAUGCCCCAGCGGUUAGUCAAAGCUCCCAGGACAUAAACGGAGGAGCCAGAAGCAAGUUUAUCCAACGAAGGAGAUAAAAAACCAAAUCAUGUUCUUUCACCUACAGGUCCCACCCAGUUCAUUUGCAGAUCCUCAAGUCAACAUAAUGAGUCAUGACCCAACUUUUACUCAGACAGAGUGAAAUGCAAAGAAAUACAACAACUCAAGCUAUAACUGCAAAAGUGAGGGUAAGAACUGUUUCAUGAAGUUGUAUGAGUCCGAGGGUCACAAGGUGAAAGCUUUUCUUCUUCCGGGCCGUGGCCAAAAUGUUGGAAAAGCCACAGUGUCAGGUGCGGAGAGCAAAGACAAGAGGACAGGAGGCAUGGAGAGAAAGAGAAAAGGAUGCGGGGCAUCCCCAGCAGUCUGGUCACAGGAAGGCACCAGCUAUGGCACCAGGAUCUACACACACGGUGACCUGACCGGCAGGCAGUGCUGGCCGCCCGGGAGGACAGAAGUCCAUCGGAGAAGACAGAGUUGGUCCAGAGAUGCUGAAACCAUUACAGAGGGGACCCCAGAACCAUGCCGGCCUACUGUUAAACCAACUGGAGCCCAGAACAAAGUCUACCCUGUGAUCCUUCUGACCUACACAGGCAUCCAUCCUUCCUCUUAAAGCAUUAAUACUGUGUUCAUCGCAGGAGGAAG